CCUACGGGUGGCAGCAGUGGGGAAUAUUGCACAAUGGGGGAAACCCUGAUGCAGCAACGCCGCGUGAAGGAAGACGGUUUUCGGAUUGUAAACUUCUGUUCUUAGUGAAGAAGAAUGACGGUAGCUAAGGAGCAAGCCACGGCUAACUACGUGCCAGCAGCCGCGGUAAUACGUAGGGGGCAAGCGUUAUCCGGAUUUACUGGGUGUAAAGGGGGCGCAGACGGCAAUGCAAGCCAGGAGUGAAAGCCCGGGGCCCAACCCCGGGACUGCUAUUGGAACUGGAUGGCUGGAGUACAGGAGGGGCAGGCGGAAUUCCUGGUGUAGCGGUGAAAUGCGUAGAUAGUAGGAGGAACACCGGUGGCGAAGGCGGCCUGCUGGACUGUGACUGACGUUGAGGCCCGAAGGCGUGGGGAGCAAACAGGAUUAGAUACCCUGGUAGUC
rnacentral:rRNA from 1 species